AACCAUAGAAACCUGCGGAGUACCUGCGGAAGGAUCAUUACCGAGUUUACAACUCCCAAACCCCUGUGAACAUACCAAUUGUUGCCUCGGCGGAUCAGCCCGCUCCCGGUAAAACGGGACGGCCCGCCAGAGGACCCCUAAACUCUGUUUCUAUAUGUAACUUCUGAGUAAAACCAUAAAUAAAUCAAAACUUUUAACAACGGAUCU
rnacentral:misc_RNA from 1 species